rnacentral:rRNA from 1 species
UACGUAGGGGGCAAGCGUUGUCCGGAUUCAUUGGGCGUAAAGAGCGUGUAGGCGGCCAGGUAGGUCGGUUGUGAAAACUGGAGGCUCAACCUUCAGACGUCGACCGAAACCAUCUGGCUAGAGUCCGGGAGAGGAGAGUGGAAUUCCUGGUGUAGCGGUGAAAUGCGCAGAUAUCAGGAGGAACACCGAUGGCGAAGGCAGGUCUCUGGGCUGACACUGACGCUCAUGCACGAAAGCGUGGGGAGCAAACAGG